CAGAUGAAGCUUGUAUGGAGUUUAACUUGAAGAGUAUGUGGAGGAGUCCCAAUGGGACCAUUAGGAAUAUUUUGAAUGGUACUGUUUUCAGAGAACCAAUUAUUUGCAAAAACAUCCCUCGCCUUAUCCCAGGCUGGACAAAGCCGAUAUGCAUUGGACAAA